UGGAUCCAGACUUUGAUUCUGGCUCAGGAUGAACGCUAGCUACGGGCUUAACACAUGCAAGUCGAGGGGAAACGACAUCGAAGCUUGCUUUGAUGGGCGUCGACCGGCGCACGGGUGAGUAACGCGUAUCCAACCUGGCCCCAAGUAGGGAAUAAUCCGUAGAAAUGCGGUCUAAUACCCUAUGUGGUUUGACGAAGACAUCUGAAUUAAAUUAAAGAUUUAUCGCUUGGGGAUGGGGAUGCGUCUGAUUAGUUUGCUGGCGGGGUAACGGCCCACCAGGACGACGAUCAGUAGGGGUUCUGAGAGGAAAGUCCCCCACAUUGGAACUGAGACACGGUCCAAACUCCUACGGGAGGCAGCAGUGAGGAAUAUUGGUCAAUGGCCGAGAGGCUGAACCAGCCAAGUAGCGUGCAGGAUGACGGCCCUAUGGGUUGUAAACUGCUUUUAUACGGGGAUAAAGUCAGCUACGUGUAGUUGUUUGCAGGUACCGUAUGAAUAAGGACCGGCUAAUUCCGUGCCAGCAGCCGCGGUAAUACGGAAGGUCCGGGCGUUAUCCGGAUUUAUUGGGUUUAAAGGGAGCGCAGGCCGUCUGUUAAGCGUGUUGUGAAAUGUAGGCGCCCAACGUCUGAAUUGCAGCGCGAGCUGGCUGACUAGAGUACGCACAACGUUGCCGGAAUUUGCCGUGUAGCGGUGAAAUGCUUAGAUAUGGCGAAGAACUCCGAUUGCGAAGGCAGCUGACGGGAGCGCAACUGACGCUCAUGCUCGAAAGUGCGGGUAUCGAACAGGAUUAGAUACCCUGGUAGUCCGCACGGUAAACGAUGGAUGCCCGCUAUUAGUCCAUAAGGGUUAGUGGCCAAGUGAAAACGUUAAGCAUCCCACCUGGGGAGUACGCCGGCAACGGUGCAACUCAAAUGAAUUGACGGA
rnacentral:rRNA from 1 species